rnacentral:rRNA from 1 species
CGCGGCCUAUCAGCUUGUUGGUGGGGUGAUGGCCUACCAAGGCGACGACGGGUAGCCGGCCUGAGAGGGUGUCCGGCCACACUGGGACUGAGAUACGGCCCAGACUCCUACGGGAGGCAGCAGUGGGGAAUAUUGCACAAUGGGCGCAAGCCUGAUGCAGCGACGCCGCGUGGGGGAUGACGGCCUUCGGGUUGUAAACCUCUUUCACCAUCGACGAAGCCUUUACGGUGACGGUAGGUGGAGAAGAAGCACCGGCCAACUACGUGCCAGCAGCCGCGGUAAUACGUAGGGUGCGAGCGUUGUCCGGAAUUACUGGGCGUAAAGAGCUCGUAGGUGGUUUGUCGCGUUGUUCGUGAAAUGCCACAGCUUAACUGUGGGCGUGCGGGCGAUACGGGCAGACUGGAGUACUGCAGGGGAGACUGGAAUUCCUGGUGUAGCGGUGGAAUGCGCAGAUAUCAGGAGGAACACCGGUGGCGAAGGCGGGUCUCUGGGCAGUAACUGACGCUGAGGAGCGAAAGCGUGGGGAGCGAACAGGAUUAGAUACCCUGGUAGUCCACGCCGUAAACGGUGGGUACUAGGUGUGGGUUUCCUUCCUUGGGAUCCGUGCCGUAGCUAACGCAUUA